rnacentral:rRNA from 1 species
CGCAAGAUUAAAACUCAAAUGAAUUGACGGGGGCCCGCACAAGCGGUGGAGCAUGUGGUUUAAUUCGAUGCAACGCGAAGAACCUUACCUACUCUUGACAUCCAGAGAACUUUCCAGAGAUGGAUUGGUGCCUUCGGGAACUCUGAGACAGGUGCUGCAUGGCUGUCGUCAGCUCGUGUUGUGAAAUGUUGGGUUAAGUCCCGCAACGAGCGCAACCCUUAUCCUUGUUUGCCAGCGAGUAAUGUCGGGAACUCCAGGGAGACUGCCGGUGAUAAACCGGAGGAAGGUGGGGACGACGUCAAGUCAUCAUGGCCCUUACGAGUAGGGCUACACACGUGCUACAAUGGCGCAUACAGAGGGCGGCCAACUUGCGAGAGUGAGCGAAUCCCAAAAAGUGCGUCGUAGUCCGGAUCGGAGUCUGCAACUCGACUCCGUGAAGUCGGAAUCGCUAGUAAUCGUGGAUCAGAAUGCCACGGUGAAUACGUUCCCGGGCCUUGUACACACCGCCCGUCACACCAUGGGAGUGGGCUGCAAAAGAAGUAGGUAGUUUAACCUUUCGGGGAGGACGCU